CCUGCUUUGCUCUGUUCCUGAUCACAUCUCACAGAAGCCACUAGAGAAAGUGUAUUUUCAUGCAGGCACUGGCACUGUGCCAGAGUCAAACCAUGACAGUGAUUCUGCUGCUACUGGCAUCCCUAAGGGUGAGGGGGUCUCUCACUUGGACAUCUGAUGCAAAACUGAUGGCAGCAGCAUGAAAAUUAAGGCAAAGCUCCAGAUGAUACGGUCCUCUCUGUCAAUGUGGAAAGACAGACAGAAUUUUUCAGCAGAUACUGCCUCAGAAGUUCAGGUCAGCUGCUACAUCACUCUGCCUGAAAGACAGCAAGACAGAGAGGCACAAUCACACACUGUCAAAGAUCUGGAACAUAUUUUAAACUGGAACAGCUCUCAAAGGAGGUAAACUUUAAGAGACAAAAUGACUCAGAGGAAUUACUGAUGGUUCUUGCAGUGCCUGUCAUUCGUCUGCUGUAAUGUGUUGUUUCUCCCUCAAACCGCUGAAGUCUUAUAACCAUGUAGUUACAACAAAACCCUAAGUUUUGCUCUUGCAUUACUAAUUUUAAAACACCAGGAUUCUGUAACAUCUCCUUAAUGUUUGGGAUUAUAUUCUGCUAAACCACUGUUAUUAUUAAUAAUAAUAAUUUUAAAAAUCUUGGUUAAAAAUUAUUUCUGAAUGCUUAAGAUAAAUGAGCAAAAACACCCAGAUCAGCAGAAUUUAGUCUGCAGAAUGUUUUCUGCUGCUGAGUAAAGGCAUAUACCACAUGCAUUAGUGAAUGUCUCAUACUAAGAAUAAGGUCACCUCCUUUGUACAUUUGUAUAAAGUCUCCUUUGGAAACAAAAUACUGGGAAUUCUUGUAAAUCUUGAUAAUGCACUGCUUGCUUGCAAAACUUGUGAUAAUACAUAAAUGCUUUCUACUUUCCUUAACCAAUUUAUACAUACUUUAAAAUAUUACAUUAAAGAAUUAAGAUCUACACUACAUUGUUUUAUAAUUUAAGAGCAAUAGUUAAUGCCAGGACUCUUGCUAUUUAAAAACAAAUAAGGUAUCAAAACAAACCCAACCAGCCUGCUAACCAAAUACAUUAUUUCAGUAGAGCCAAGGACUCACAAUAAUAGAAACAAUAAAUUAAUUGCUUAAGUUUCAGCUCUGUGAUCACCCUGACCUGCUGCAGAGGAAAUGAGGCCCACAAAACCUAUCAGAAAUUCCUCAGAUAUCAAAGGAUUGCACAGAAAAAGAGCAAAAAAGUCACUUUUUAUGCCCUCCUGGUCACUUUGCAGCAGAGAUGUGAGAAAAGGGAUGGUUGCAGAAGAGGGCACUGCAGAGCUUUUCUUGUUGGCUCAGGCGGGUUGUGGCAGAAAACCAAAUAGCUGUAAACAUACUUUAAUUUGUCUUUUCCCCCUGCCACUUCCACUCUUCCCUGGGAUUUUCUGUCAGACUUAGGUUCCUCUGUGAUAUGAUAGGACAGAAUUCCUAUACCUUUCUCUCAAGUCUUCCCUGUAGCUUAGCACAGGACCAGAAAUUACUAGUACUUUCUUCUUCAAUGUAUAGGAAGUAACUUCAAAGGCAAGACCAAAAGCAAAAACAGGGUAACAGCAUUUUAAAGCACUCUCAUCUCUCACCUGGGAAUACUAAGGAGCAAGUCGGCAUUAUCUUGUCCAUGCUUAUUAAUGAUUCUAAACCCUCAAUAUUUCACAUGUUAAACCUAUAACCACAAACCCAGUCCCUUUCAAGGGACAUACCAGGCAUCUGAUAACUUCUGAUAGUGAUACUGCCAUGGUGUGCUGUGGCAUCAUGACUACACUCAUGGCAUUGCAAUAGAGACUAGGGGGAAAAAAUUCACAUUCUCUUCCGUUAAGUCCUCAGCAUAGUGUUAAUAAAAUUACUAAAACACAGCAUACAAAGACAACACCUCAUCCCACUCUCCCCACUUACUUUAGCUCUCUGCUACCUGCUCCAUCACAUGCUUCAAAGGACUUCCAAGAGCCCUAAAUUUCUAAUCCUGAGCCUUCUGGCUCAGCCAUCCACAAGGCUGUCACUUAUACUCCUGAUCUGGUCUUUAUUCUUUAACAAACAGCUCAUUUGACACCCACGGCUUCUCCCUCAGCUACUUAAUUUACCUUCUCAACUUUAAUUUUACUGCAAGAAAAUUAAUAUAGCAUUUAAAGGAAAUGCAAUUUACUGUAACAAUACUUUCCAAAGGUUUUAAAGAAAUAUCAGGAGGAAAUCAGGGAAAAAAAAGUCUACAGCAGUCAAUCUGUUUGUAGAUCAAGAAGUUCCCCUGAGCACACAUGCAGUUAAUCUGCAAACAGAAAUGAGAAAAAUAUGGAACUAGAAUAGGCUGCUUUAUUGCAGCUUCAUUAAAUUUUCAAAUCUCUCUUGCUCCAAUGCGCUGUGGAAGAAAAGAGAGAAAGAGUCUUUUACAAGGAGCACUAUACAAUAGCACCAUGUCUGUAUGUCUCUAGAGGAGUUUUCAAAUCUGCUCAGGAAGACUGCCUGCAUUUUAAAAAAGUUGCUAGAAAUCUCAUAUAGCUGUUUUCAAUACAUAAUUUGGGAAGUGGUCUUGUUCUUAAGAUGGGGGUAAAUCAAUUAUCCUACCAGCUCAAAAGAAAUAAGUGGUAGGUCAGCCCUGGGGUGUCAUGUAAAUUUUCUCCUACAGUCUGGCAGAUAUUUUCAAAUAAAAGUCCAUCCACACUUCAACUUGUUUUUAUCUCAAGAACUUAUUUUUAUUACUAGAAUAGAUUCUGCAGUGGAACCAGCAAACCCAGUCAGAAGCUUAACCCAAGCAUGCUCAUCUCCUUUCUUGGCUCAUACAUUCAGGCUGUGCAUCAAGAAACAAGACAGCCAAGCCCCACCUCCUGCCCUUGAGACUCUCGAGACCUCAGGAGCCACAAACUGCCCACAUGUCCAGAGACUUAUGUUCUUCUGACAAACGAGAUCAUAUUUGGUUUAGUCACUUAAGACAUGCACUGAACAGCACAGAGCAGGAUAGCUCCUUUUCUGCAGACAUACUGAAACUCAUCUCAAGAGUCUGCAGCAGUGCUUUCUCAUGUUAAAGUACAAGGGUCUUCCCCCUCCUUAUGGUUAUGGAGAAGGAAGACACACUGGGACAAUCUUGCCUUUCAUCCCAAAAAGCUACACAUCUGCAUAGCCAGUACAUGUUACUGCAUUCUGCCUUUGCAGCCCGGCUGGGUACUUUGAGUCGCUGAGAGCACCUCGGGCCCCAGCCCAGCACGGC